UCUAAUAUGGCAGAAUAGUGCAAUGAAUUUAAGAUUCAUAUAUGAAUUUUCAAUUCUAUUAGAA
rnacentral:tRNA from 1 species